rnacentral:rRNA from 7 species
AAACGACUCUCGGCAACGGAUAUCUCGGCUCACGCAUCGAUGAAGAACGUAGCAAAAUGCGAUACUUGGUGUGAAUUGCAGAAUCCCGUGAACCAUCGAGUUUUUGAACGCAAGUUGCGCCCAAAGCCAUCCGGCCGAGGGCACGCCUGCCUGGGCGUCACG